UCAACAAUUCAUUCAAUAAAUACCAUCACCAAUGUUACAAAGCAGAGCCACUCUUCUUUCUAUAUCUCAGUAUUCUUCCUCUUAACAAAACAAUGGAGCUCCCUCAUUUUGUUCCUCUUCUCUCAAUUUUCCUUCUCCUUAUUCCACCUUUGACCUGUGCUCAAGUGUGCCAAAGAAACUGUGGCAAAGAAUACCUAAAGUACCCAUUUGGUAGUGGCCCUGGUUGCGGUAACCCACUCUUCCAACCACACAUUUCUUGCUCCCAACAAAAACUUACCUUCACAACUCACACAGGCUCGUACCUUGUUACUUCAAUUGACUAUUCAAACCAAGUAAUUUACAUUUCUGACCCUACUAUGUCAACAUGUUCUUGCACUCUCCCUAGCAAAGGUUUUGGCCUAGAUUGGAAUGCACCAUUCACUUUCCAUGAUAGCACCAUCUUUGCCCUAGUUGAUUGUUCAAUCAAUUCAUCAUCAAUAUGCACAACACAAAGUUAUGAUGACAUUGAUGAUGGUAACAACAAAAAUUCAAAUUCAAAUUCCAAGCUUUUGUGUGAUCAAAGUACACCAAUUUGUAGUCUUUUGUAUUCAUGCAAACCUAUUAGCACUAUUAACCUUCCAAUUUCCACAUGUUGUGUUUAUGAACCGGUGAAUCUUGGUCCGUCAUUCGAGAUGGAUCUUCAGAAGCUUCAGUGUCCGUCAUAUACCGGAUUCUACAACUUCGACGAGGGAGAAUCUGAUCCUGAGAAGUGGAACUAUGGGAUAGCAUUAAAGUACAAGUUUAGUGUGACGGAUGAUUAUCCUAACUCUUGUGCUGCUUGUGAAAAGAGUUAUGGGGUGUGUGGAUACAAUGGAGCUUAUAAUUCAUUUAUAUGCAAUUGCCCUAAUGGCAUCAACACUACAACAGAUUGUUACUUCACAUCAUCUUACAAUAAUGCUUUUAGAAACGGGAUUGCUUGGUUGAUUUAUCCUAUGGCAUGGUCAGUGGUUUGGUUCUUCUUGUAGCUUAUGGAUCAAAAAGCAAGAUCAAAAACCAUUAAAGCAAUCAAAAACUCUUCUUGUGAUUUCAGGUUUACCAGACAAGUAUGGAUUGAAGAAGUAAGGAAAAAGCAUGCAAAAGUGGAGAAUUUAUGAAGAAAUGAAGGAUGUGUAGAGCUGUCAGCCCUGAUCUCUUCGUACUAAAGUGAUCAUAACUUGAGCUAUAGAGUUUCGAAUGAGGUAGUUCUAGUGACAUUAGAAAGCUAACAUCCGAGACUUCAAAAUAAUAUAGUGGAUGUGUGUUAAGACGUUCGCAUAUGCAGCCAAAUACUUGCAUACAUGAGACAACAAAAAGUGCUUCCUUAAAGAAACACGUGAGGGGCAAUUUCUGGAGUAUUUUGGGUGCAAUCCAACCUAUUUCUGAUGCUAUUGAA